rnacentral:lncRNA from 1 species
GAUGGAGUAGCCCUGCCCGGUGCUCCGGGAGGGAAAUAGAAAGGAGAGGAGGCCGGUUUGGGGCACAGUGCCAGGCGGCAGAAGACAGCUGGUGAGCCCGGGGCCCGCCUGAUCCCCCAAGCGCCGCGGACUCACGGCCUUCAGCUGCUCCAGCCGGUCCUUCAUCCUGGCCCAGGUGAGGGCGGCGGGCGCCUUGUCUCAGGCCCUUUGUGUAAGCACUGUGUCUAAGCUGCACACCACAAGUACCUGGCAACAGCCAGCCACUGAAAGUAAUGUUAGAAUAAUUCAGCAUACCAGUGCCUUUUCAAGUCAGCACCGAGAUCUUAAGCCAGAGAAUACCAGAAACCCUUCUACAUUCUUCAUCCAGAAAAAAGAAUAAUGGGACUCUACUCUUAGAAACAUUAAGAGGAUAAAUCUGUCUGGACCCUACUAAAAUCUCCAUGAACAUUAGUAAUGAUCAUUGAAAACUGUUGUUCUUCUAAGGGGCUGGAACAGUGAUUCAGCUCUCCCAGAGAACCUGUGGUGGGUAGCAACCUGGUAGCUAAUAACUUUCUGUAACUCCAGUCCCAGGGGAUCAACAACCUUUGGUGGCCUCUGUGGGCACAGUACAAAUGUGGUACACAGACACACAUGCAGACAAUACAUACAUACAUAAUAGAAAACAAAAUGAAAUAAAACCUAAAAAUAUUUUUUUC